UACAGAGGGUGCGAGCGUUAAUCGGAAUUACUGGGCGUAAAGCGCACGUAGUCGGCUUUGCAAGUCGGGUGUGAAAUCCCCGGGCUCAACCUGGGAACUGCAUCCGAGACUGCAUUGCUAGAGUAUGGGAGAGGGAAGCGGAAUUCCUGGUGUAGCGGUGGAAUGCGCAGAUAUCAGGAGGAACACCGGUGGCGAAGGCGGAUCUCUGGGCCUUACCUGACGCUGAGACGCGAAAGCGUGGGGAGCGAACAGG
rnacentral:rRNA from 1 species